rnacentral:tRNA from 1 species
GUGGGUAUAGCUCAGUGGUAGAGUGUGUGCUUAGCAUGCAUGAGGGCCUGGGUUCAAUCCCCAGUACCUCCA